CUGGGAUAACUCCGGGAAACCGGAGCUAAUACCGGAUAGUUCCUUGAACCGCAUGGUUCAAGGAUGAAAGACGGUUUCGGCUGUCACUUACAGAUGGACCCGCGGCGCAUUAGCUAGUUGGUGGGGUAAUGGCUCACCAAGGCGACGAUGCGUAGCCGACCUGAGAGGGUGAUCGGCCACACUGGGACUGAGACACGGCCCAGACUCCUACGGGAGGCAGCAGUAGGGAAUCUUCCGCAAUGGACGAAAGUCUGACGGAGCAACGCCGCGUGAGUGAUGAAGGUUUUCGGAUCGUAAAGCUCUGUUGUUAGGGAAGAACAAGUGCGAGAGUAUCUGCUCGCACCUUGACGGUACCUAACCAGAAAGCCACGGCUAACUACGUGCCAGCAGCCGCGGUAAUACCUAGGUGGCAAGCGUUGUCCGGAAUUAUUGGGCGUAAAGGGCUCGCAGGCGGUUUCUUAAGUCUGAUGUGAAAGCCCCCGGCUCAACCGGGGAGGGUCAUUGGAAACUGGGAAACUUGAGUGCAGAAGAGGAGAGUGGAAUUCCACGUGUAGCGGUGAAAUGCGUAGAGAUGUGGAGGAACACCAGUGGCGAACGCGA
rnacentral:rRNA from 1 species